rnacentral:lncRNA from 1 species
UACCAGUUUCUGAUCAUCCAUUUGAAAUCUUCCAACAUUAUUUUUAGGUGGGCAGAUUUUUGGAUCUUUGAGAGGAAAAGAAUCAAAAUCCCAGUUUCUAGUCUACUCUCCAAGGUCGGAAAGUGUUCGAGGGGUUUGAUUUAUUGAGCUGUGGGGGAGAGAUCCUGCUGUGCCCAUAGAGGAGAUGGUAAUUCUUUGAAAAAGGGAUUGUUCAACUCCUACAGAGAGAGGCUUUAGGCAAUUUUGAAAUAAUAGAAGCUGAGAAUCUUGGGCCUCAUAUAGAUUGUACACCAUCGGUCUCUUCCCUUGGGAUGGGAGAAAAAGAAACAGCUGUUAAUAGAAUCACGAUCCAGUCUAUAGAAAAAAAAUGGCAGAAUUAACCACAGGAUUUUAGAACUGGGAGGGGAUCGAUUCAUCCAACCAACUUUACAAUGAGGAAACUAAAAUCUAGUGAAGUUAGAUGACUUGUCUAUGACCACACAGCGAGAAAUGAUAGGUAUGAACUAAUAUCUUUUGACUCCAAAUUCAGUAUUCUUUACAUGAUUCCACUAUCUCUAGUUCUCUCAAUUGGAUUAUAAACUUCUUGGAAACAAAAGUCAAAUGUUCUAUAUUUUCCUAGUGUCAGCACAAUGUAAUAUAAAAAAUAGAGUAAUGAAAAAU